UUUCCUGAGAUUUGGCGAAGGGUAAAGGGUCGGAGUCACAUGGAUACAAAGCAUUUGAUUAAUGUCCAAGUCACCGCCAGGGCUGCCGGAGCCGCCUCCCCUCCAGCCCGGGCCGUGUGAGGCCAGAGCCGCGCGGGGCGCGGCGCGCAGGUCCCCGGGCCCCCCGGGAGCGGCCUCUGUUGAGCUCCCCCUGCCUCCCGCGCCCGGCGCCCCCUCCUUCUCCCCGCGCCCCCCGCCUCUCCGCCGCACGUAAAGUCGCCCGUCCCACAGCGGACCCGGCGGAGGCGGCCACUUUCCCCGGCGGGCGCGCGGGACCCGGGGCAGCGGCGGGCGCGCGGCCGGGCGCCCACCAUGAGCGACGAGGGUCGCGGGGACGGGCGCGCCGAGAGCGCCCGGGACCUGGAGAAGCAGCUCCGGCUGCGCGUGUGCGUGCUCAGCGAGCUGCAGAAGACCGAGCGCGACUACGUGGGCACGCUGGAGUUCCUGGUGUCGGCAUUCUUGCAUCGGAUGAACCAGUGCGCAGCAUCGAAACUUGACAAAAAUGUAACAGAAGAAACCGUGAAGAUGCUGUUCUCAAACAUUGAGGAUAUCCUUGCAGUACACAAAGAAUUCUUAAAGGUCGUGGAAGAGUGCUUGCAUCCAGAACCUAAUGCUCAGCAAGAAGUGGGAACCUGCUUUCUUCACUUUAAAGACAAGUUUCGCAUCUAUGAUGAAUAUUGUAGUAAUCAUGAGAAGGCCCAGAAAUUGCUCUCUGAACUUAACAAAAUAAGAACAAUCCGGACAUUUCUUUUGAACUGCAUGCUGCUCGGAGGACGGAAGAACACAGAUGUCCCUCUAGAAGGAUACUUGGUAACGCCAAUACAAAGAAUAUGCAAAUACCCUCUACUUUUGAAGGAGUUGCUUAAGCGGACUCCAAGGAAACACAGUGACUAUGCAGCAGUCAUGGAAGCUCUCCAAGCCAUGAAAGCCGUCUGUUCCAACAUCAACGAGGCCAAGAGACAGAUGGAAAAGUUGGAAGUUUUAGAGGAGUGGCAGUCUCAUAUUGAAGGCUGGGAGGGGUCCAACAUUACUGAUACCUGUACAGAAAUGCUAAUGUGUGGAGUCUUACUGAAAAUUUCUUCUGGAAAUAUUCAAGAGCGGGUAUUUUUUCUUUUUGAUAAUCUUUUGGUGUAUUGCAAAAGAAAACACAGACGGUUGAAAAAUAGCAAAGCAUCUACUGAUGGACAUCGGUACCUUUUUCGUGGCCGGAUCAAUACAGAGGUGAUGGAAGUGGAGAAUGUGGAUGAUGGCACAGCUGACUUCCAUAGCAGUGGACACAUUGUUGUUAAUGGAUGGAAGAUACAUAACACAGCCAAAAAUAAAUGGUUUGUGUGUAUGGCAAAAACACCUGAAGAGAAACGUGAAUGGUUUGAAGCUAUUUUGAAAGAACGAGAACGGCGGAAAGGUUUAAAAUUAGGAAUGGAGCAAGACACCUGGGUAAUGAUCUCUGAACAGGGUGAGAAACUUUAUAAAAUGAUGUGCAAACAAGGAAAUCUGAUCAAAGACAGAAAAAGAAAACUGACUACGUUCCCUAAAUGCUUUCUGGGAAGUGAAUUUGUGUCAUGGCUGUUGGAAAUUGGAGAGAUUCACAGGCCUGAGGAAGGUGUUCACUUGGGACAAGCAUUAUUGGAAAAUGGAAUCAUUCAUCAUGUUACAGAUAAACAUCAAUUCAAACCAGAACAGAUGCUAUAUAGAUUUCGUUAUGAUGAUGGAACCUUUUAUCCAAGAAAUGAGAUGCAGGAUGUGAUUUCAAAGGGUGUGCGAUUAUAUUGUCGUCUUCAUAGUCUGUUCACUCCAGUCAUAAGAGAUAAAGAUUAUCACUUAAGAACCUACAAAUCUGUCGUUAUGGCCAACAAGCUGAUAGACUGGUUGAUUGCACAGGGGGAUUGCCGCACCAGAGAAGAGGCGAUGAUAUUUGGCAUUGGGCUCUGUGACAAUGGAUUUAUGCACCAUGUGCUUGAAAAAAGUGAAUUCAAAGACGAACCUCUACUUUUCCGUUUUUUUGCGGAUGAGGAAAUGGAAGGGUCAAAUAUGAAACAUCGACUGAUGAAACAUGAUUUAAAAGUUGUGGAAAAUGUUAUAGCUAAAUCCUUAUUGAUUAAAUCCAAUGAAGGCAGCUAUGGUUUUGGAUUAGAAGACAAAAAUAAAGUUCCAAUAAUAAAGUUGGUGGAAAAGGGGUCUAAUGCUGAGAUGGCUGGCAUGGAAGUUGGGAAAAAGAUUUUUGCGAUUAAUGGUGACCUAGUUUUUAUGAGACCUUUCAAUGAAGUGGAUUGCUUCCUGAAAUCAUGCUUAAAUAGCAGAAAACCUCUAAGAGUUCUUGUGAGCACAAAACCAAGGGAGACAGUGAAAAUCCCAGAUUCAGCGGAAGGACUUGGCUUCCAGAUCCGAGGAUAUGGCCCGUCGGUGGUGCAUGCAGUAGGAAGAGGAACUGUGGCUGCAGCUGCUGGUCUUCACCCUGGACAGUGUAUCAUCAAAGUCAAUGGAAUCAACGUCAGCAAAGAGACACACGCCAGUGUUAUCGCCCACGUCACGGCCUGCAGGAAGUACCGGAGACCAACGAAGCAAGAUUCCAUACAAUGGGUUUAUAAUAGUGUUGAGAGCGCUCAGGAAGACCUUCAGAAGUCCAACUCCAAACCGCCAGGAGAUGAAGCAGGGGAUUCCUUUGACUGUAAAGUGGAAGAGGUCAUUGACAAGUUCAGCACCAUGGCGAUCAUCGACGGGAAGAAGGAGCACGUGAGUCUGACGGUGGACAAUGUCCACCUGGAGUAUGGUGUUGUGUACGAAUAUGACAGCACUGCUGGGAUCAAGUGCAACGUGGUGGAGAAGAUGAUCGAGCCCAAGGGCUUCUUCAGCCUCACUGCCAAGAUUCUUGAAGCCCUGGCUAAAAGUGAUGAUCAUUUUGUACAAAACUGCACCAGCCUUAGCUCUUUGAAUGAAGUGAUUCCUACUGACCUUCAAAGUAAAUUCAGUGCCAUUUGUAGUGAAAAAAUUGAGCGCAUAUGUCAGAGAAUAUCCAGUUAUAAAAAGUUUUCUCGUGUACUGAAGAAUAGAGCCUGGCCCACCUUUAAACAGGCCAAAUCUAGAAUCUCCCCUCUGCACAGUAGUGACUUCUGCCCCACCAACUGCCAUGUCAACGUGAUGGAAGUUUCUUAUCCCAAAACAUCAACAUCCCUGGGGAGUGCAUUUGGCGUUCAGUUGGAUAGUAGGAAGCAUAAUUCUCAAGAUAAAGAAAAUAAAUCUGAACAAGGAAAACUAAGCCCUAUGGUGUACAUUCAACAUACGAUCACAACCAUGGCAGCCCCUUCAGGUCUGUCUCUGGGACAGCAAGAUGGACAUGGUCUCCGGUAUUUGUUGAAAGAAGAAGACUUAGAAACCCAGGAUAUCUAUCAGAAACUUCUGGGCAAACUUCAGACUGCACUGAAAGAGGUGGAGAUGUGUGUUUGUCAAAUAGAUGACCUUCUGUCUUCGAUAACAUAUUCUCCUAAAUUAGAACGUAAGGCAUCCGAGUCCAUAGUCCCAACAGACAGUGACAACGAGCGGGGAGAGAGAAACAGCAAGCGCGUCUGUUUUAACAUGGCCGGAGACGAGCAAGAAGACUCGGGUCACGACACCAUCAGCAACAGGGACUCUUACAGUGACUGCAACAGCAAUAGGAAUUCCGUUGCCUCCUUCACCAGCAUCUGCAGCAGCCAGUGCAGCUCAUAUUUUCACAGCGAUGAGAUGGACUCAGGUGAUGAACUUCCCCUAAAUGUUCGCAUUUCUCGUGAUAAACAGGACAAGAUACACAGCUGCCUUGAGCAUCUUUUCAGCCAGGUGGAUUCCAUAACCAAUCUCCUGAGAGGCCAAGCUGUUGUGAGGGCCUUUGAGCAAACUAAAUACUUGACACCAGGUCGAGGAUUACAAGAGUUUCAUCAGGAAAUGGAAACAAAGCUGAGUUGUCCGAAAAGGUUAAGACUUCACAUCAAGCAAGAUCCUUGGAAUCUUCCCAGCAGUGUCCGGAAUCUUGCUCAGAACAUCAGAAAAUUUGUUGAAGAGGUAAAGUGUAGGAUACUCCUGGCUCUUCUUGAAUAUUCAGAUAGUGAGACACAGCUCCGAAGAGACAUGGUUUUCUGCCAGAGCCUGGUAGCCACUGUCUGUGCCUUCUCCGAGCAGCUCAUGGCGGCCUUAAACCAGAUGUUUGACAACAGCAAAGAAAACGAAAUGGAAACGUGGGAGGCCAGCAGAAGGUGGCUGGACCAAAUAGCAAAUGCAGGAGUUCUUUUUCACUUUCAGUCCCUUCUAUCACCUAACUUGACAGAUGAACAAGCCAUGCUAGAAGACACACUGGUUGCACUGUUUGAUUUGGAAAAGGUUUCUUUCUACUUUAAACCAUCAGAAGAGGAACCAUUGGUUGCAAAUGUUCCUCUUACUUAUCAAGCAGAAGGAAGCCGGCAAGCUCUGAAAGUUUACUUCUACAUUGAUAGUUAUCAUUUUGAACAACUGCCUCAACGGUUGAAAAAUGGAGGAGGGUUUAAAAUUCAUCCUGUUCUUUUUUCACAAGCACUGGAGAGCAUGGAAGGAUAUUAUUAUAGAGACAAUGUUUCGGUGGAGGAAUUUCAAGCUCAGAUAAAUGCAGCCUCCUUGGAAAAGGUCAAACAGUACAACCAGAAGCUCAGGGCAUUCUACUUGGACAAGUCAAAUUCACCACCAAACUCUACAUCUAAAGCUGCCUAUGUAGAUAAGCUCAUGAGGCCUCUCAAUGUUUUGGAUGAACUUUAUCGACUGGUGGCCUCAUUUAUCAGAUCCAAGCGCACGGCUGCCUGUGUGAACACAGCUUGCAGCGCCUCCGGGGUCGGGCUGCUGUCAGUGUCCUCGGAGCUGUGCAGUAGGCUGGGGGCCUGCCACGUCAUCAUGUGCAACAGUGGCGUGCAUCGGUGCACCCUGAGUGUGACCCUGGAGCAGGCCAUCAUUCUGGCCAGAAGCCACGGACUGCCUCCUCGCUACAUCAUGCAGGCUACAGAUGUGAUGCGAAAGCAGGGAGCAAGAGUUCAGAACACAGCAAAGAAUUUGGGAGUCAGAGACCGGACUCCACAAUCUGCUCCAAGAGCAUCAGACUAAGCUCUGAAGUAGGACCAUCAUGGCCACAUUCUUAUCGAGGACUCCAGGCUUACAACCAGCUUCAUUAUAUCCGCUGGUGUUGACUCAAAGUAUAAAGGCUGUACAAGCUAUGUGAGCCGCCUCCCCCGGUUGGAGAGGAAUGAGGAGCAUCUUCAAGGAACCAGACAAGCAGAAGCUUCUGAACACUGGAUGAGACAAAGAACGUGCUGGCUAAACAUCCUCCACUCAACAUAGAGAAAUGGACUUUUUUCUCUAACUCUUUCAUCAUGAUGUAAAUAACUAAUGUUCAGCUUGUACUUAGAUGUUUGUGCUGGAAAUGGAUAGAUGUCCAUUCAAACAACUCGGCUUCACAAACUGAUCUCUCUCUGUGUUAACAUGAAUUAUUCAUCCUGGAGAUUAUAUGAAAAAAGAUCCGAGAUGAAACAUUAACCAUUGUGCCUCCUUUCCCAUCUUUUGAAAUUACUAUGUUGCAUUUGCUUUUUAUCUUCUCCAAACGGAGCAUGUAAUUAUGGAUAUUUCCAUUUGAAGAAGUCUGUCCUUGGAGAAACCUGGCCACACUUUCCAGGUGAUCACACAGAAAUGUGACAGACGGCAGUGACUGGGCUUCAUAGGUUUUCGGUCUCCUGCUUGCAUCUGAGAAAGUCAUUUGUGGGUGAAAGGUGAGGAGCAUCCUUUACUCUUUUUCAGUAAGAGAAAGAGUAUUUCUCAGUAGAGGAGAAGAAUGCUGACUGAGGCCUCCAGCAGCAUCUUCCUCCAGCUGCUUUCAGGGACGCUUUCUGCUUGUGGAGUGUUCCAGCGACCCAGUGCUGUCCUUGAUCUCCGAAAUGAACAUGGCUUCCUUGGAUAAUGAGUCCUGAAGCUGGGACGUAGGUGUCCAGGGGUGGGGAGAAGCAGGGGUUGGGAAGGAUUGGGAGGACGACUAGGGUGAAGCAGGGGAAAAUAAACCAUUAAAAAACUCAACCUUUAAAUUUGAAAGAUACCCAAAACUCUUAUUCAGGCUUUCGUAUGAGAUGUCAGACUCUUAGAGAAUACACCAUACUGAGUGUGUUUCUAUCAAGGUAGUAUAUGUAUAAGAUGAGAAAAUAAAGCUUUAUUUGUUGAAAUUUCAAAGGACUGUUAGAGACCUUGAUAAUUUAUGAAAGUACAAAGUAUAUUCUAUUUUUGUUCUAAAGUUUACAUAAUGUUUAUCUGUCUCCAUUGAUAAAAUAUUAAUAACAUUUCCUUAGCAUAGUGAAAACCGUAAUGUUGAUUUUAAAUCUAUAAUUUUCAAAACAGUUAAAUGCCUGUGCUGUGAUUGUGAUACUUAUGUGGAUUUAGAUUAAUUUCCUAUAUGAAAUGCUUUCCAUAACUAAAGUAGUUACACACCAUUACUAAAUUUUAAUUUAUGAAAUUUGAUAAUAGUUUUCAAACUCAUUAAAAAGCCUUCAUCACUAGCAGUUGUGUAUUCAAUAACAGAAACACUGUUAUGUGUGUUUGAGGUCUUCAUGUCCUGGUCAAGGUAAUAAAUGUUAUUUCGCAUAGAAGUACUGAAGACUUUCAUGAUAAGUACAUAUUUAUAACGAAAAAUAAACCAACAUCAGAGUUUUCAGACAAAAAAGUUGAACACUUUGAAUUUAAUGAAGAUAUAACCUUAAUAUAAAUAUUUACAUUAAAUACGUUCUUAAUUUUCAGGGCUUUAACACUUUUGAUACUAUUGCCAGUAAUUCUGAAGGUCCAUGAAAUUAGUAAACUGUGAUGUUCCUGUUACUGACAAUUUGAUUACAUUUAACAUGGGAAUAAUGAGUGAGCAAAACUGAUUAACUAGCAAGUACUUUUCAUGUUGUCAUUACUGUUCUCUGAUCACCACCCUGAAAGCCGUAUUCCUUGUUAAAGGUAUGAAGAGGCCACUUAAACAUUUCAGUCAUACUUUGUAUUUCAUAGGAGAAAUUAUCUGCUAUUGUAGUAUUUAUAAAUUAGCAUACUUUAAGAUUGAACCUCUAUAUAAUAGAAUGUACUUAAUACUAUUUUAAGGGUUAAACAUGGUGUAAGUGUACCAUCUAUCAAUGCUUGGCACUUAAUAAAAGCUCAAAAGUUAGUGAUGACAUGUUGCCAUCAAUCACUGUGAUUUUUUUAUUGUAAUGAAAACUGUAGCUAAAACCUAAGUAAUUUCUCUGUGCCAAGCAAUACCUCCAGGUCCUUUGCCGUAGUUUCUUGUUAUUGCUUCAUUAAUCCUCAUAAUGAUGCUUUGAGGUGAUAUUCUUAGCGUCACCCCUGUUUUAUGGUUGAGGAACUGAAGCAAAGAAUGGUUCAGUGACUUGCCCAGGAUCACAUGGCCAAUAAGUGGUAGAACCAGGAUCUGAGCCUAGGAAGUCUGCCUUCUUAAUACAUUGUGUUACUUUCCCUUAUUAAUAUAGGAAAUGUUAUAAUACUGCCAGUUAUUUGUUAGUAAAGUUGGAGUUCUGUGUGGUGUGGGCCAUUACAUUAUAUGUGUUAUAUUGAGAAAAAAGUGAAUGAAAACAUAUAAAGUGCCUCUAAAUAUAUAAAAAUCACAGGAUAUGCUAGACAUUUUGCCAUUCUGGAUAGACAUUAUGAAGUAACCUAAUGCUAUUGCAAUCUGAAAAGACAUGAUCUAUUCUUCAUAAUUAAAGAAAAUAGUUUUAGAUAUGUUUUAAAAGUGUUGCAUAGUACAUUAUAUAAAAUCUGACUGAUUCCAAAACAGUGGUGACAGCGAAAAAUCGUGUGAUUGAAUGAAUAAGGACAACUCUUCAACACCACGAUGUACCCCUGCGUGACAGUGGACAUUCGAUUGACCUUGAGCUUUUAUGCAAGCUCGGGCAUGUUCAGGGUGGUAUGACCAUAGAUUGGCCUUGAUAUGACCAUAGACUGGCCUUGAGUUUUUAGAAUGGGUUUAUCUAAAUGCUCACAUACUCUUCUGCAGCCAGUGUACCUUUAAACGUUACAAAAGCCUGCUAACAGUUCUUCCAGGUUUUCCCAACUUUGCAGAUAAGUGUGGACCUCUGCCUGUCUCCACCUAAAAUGGGAGGUCACGCCUAGAAAUUUUGGUUCUUAAUAUGGGACUGAUUCAUUAAUACUUGUUUUUUUUUCCAUAAAUACUUGUUAACUAGUAAAUCGUGGUCAAGAAAUCUGAAACCUUCCAUUGUACCUUACAAAGUUUUCUUACUAAAUAUUAAAAAUUAAUAUUAAAGGUAUGAGUAAUUUGAGGAGACUAGAAUUUUACACCUAUUUCCAUUACAUUUAAUGAAAAAGAAUGGAAGACAGAAAGAACAAAGGAAAUAAAGAGGGAUGGGGAAGGGAGGGAGGGAGGAAGGAAAGAACUUUUGUACUGGUUUUACUUAUACUGGAUAUAUAAUGUUGAAUUUAGAAUCUAAGCUUUAUUUUAUGAACCAGUAUCCCCAUCUUAGGAGUCUCAUACUAUUUUCUGUCUUUUCAAAUCACAUUCUUCUAGUGAUUUAGAUUCCCUGUGCGUUCAACGGCCACUCUUCUUGCAGCAACAAUGUUCAAUUUAUUGAAGUUAGAUUAAUUUCUCAUGAUAUUAUAACAUAUGACAUUGUAAUGAUAUUGGUUCUGACUCUAUUAAUUUAAAUUUUGUGAUGAAUUCAGAACAGCAUGAUACUGACCUUGGCACUAACUGUAAAAGCCAAGAAAAUGAAUGGGUAAAAAAAUCCUGAGUGGCAUAUUAAGUCAUUUAGGAAAACAAACUAUUUUCUACUCUUUGGACACAUUCUACCAGCAAAACUAAUUUUACUGACUUGGAAGCAUUCCUUUGAGUUACUGUAUGUAUUUGAAAAUAAUAAAUUUGUAAUUAAAACACUACUCUUUCAUUAGUUCAUAUAGUUCCUAUGUAGCAUGGUUCAGUGUAGAAUAGAAGGCAUAUUUUUAUUCACCUAUGUAUUCAGUAAAACAUAAAGUUGAAAUUUAAAAUGACUAAUCUUAAGUCAUUUUCAUUUACCUUUUACUUUAAAGGUAAUUUUUAGAUUUUCUUCACUAGCUGAAUUUACAAAUAGUGAAACUAACCUUUAGCAUGUGAUUAAAUUGCUUCUGAAUUUUAAAAUUUAUGUUUAAUUUUUAAAGGCUUUUUUAAGUGAAUUAUCAUACAAAAUGAUAGUUCAGUUAUGAUCCCAACAUUAGUAGCAGUUAUUUCAUUAACAGGUGUAUAUAUUAAUCGAUUUGCUGAAUGAAUUGUCAGUUGUCCUAUGUAAGUAUGAAGACAAAAAUUUUGGAAAUGGUUUAGGACAAUCUGAACCUUGAUUAAGAAAAAUAUUCUGUAUUUUAUAAAGCUUUCCACAUUUAGAGAUGAGCCUCAGAAAAGUUUCAUUCUUUAUGAAGCAGACAAGUUGGGAUAAGCUUCCGGCAGGUGUCUGGACCAAGGGUGGGCUCAGGCUGAUCCCUUUUACAUACAGUGGCCACAACCUUUGAAGGUGCUGUGAUUCCAUAGUCGUUAUUAUGGUUAGUCUUUUGUUUUCGAAAAAUAAGUUUUGCUUUUAACAGUAAUCUCAGCGUUCAUAUUGCCAAGUUGUGCUUGACCUCCUUCACUCAGGAUAGUUUGCUUCUCAUUGAGAAGACAUUUCUGAAGUCUACUAGGUUUACUAAGAGAUAAAUAUAUAUUUUAUAUACAUAUAUUAAUAUUUAUAAUGUUUUGUUUUUAUGAUAAUACAUUAUAAGAAUGACUUAGAUUCUUCUGUCUUAUUUAGUAUGAAGGUAUGAAAUAUGAAGUGGUUUGGUAUAUUGAAUAUGUGUCUAAAUAUGCCGUAAGUGUCCCUGGUAGGCCAUCUUUUGAUCACUGGCACUAGUCUGCUACUUAGUCUGGAGUCUAUUGAUCUGGCUUUGCCAUCAGAGGUAGUUGAUUAAGAACAAAAUUAUUGAAUUCUUAAAUGAUAGUUCUAGUAGAAAUAGAAAGCUUUGGACAGCUCAUUUGGGGUCAAAUUACAGAAUAAAUAUUAUCCACUCAUGUGUCAUUCAACAAACGUGUUUGAGAAUUCACUUUGUCAAAGGCACAGUUGGUGGGCUGCCUUUAUGCGUUGCAUGUAUUUGGUUCAAAAAUCUUCUCAGUGUCUCCUCCGCGUUAAUCUCCUUUGUGUCUUUUUCCUGUAGUGAUGUUAUUUGUAAUGCAAACUUACUCUAAUACCAUGUAGAUACCUAUAUUGUAUGAUUUCAAGAAUACUAAGUUGAUAAAAUGCUCUAGAAAGCAUACAUUUAAACUUAAGUAUCUAAUCCCUCAAACAAAUUUACUAGAGUUUCAGACGAAUAUAUAUUUUUGUAACUGCCAGGUAAAUGAGUAGAACAUAGCUUUUUUGUUUAAAAAUAUUUUUAUAAGUAUGCAUUUACACAGUAUUCAUUAUUUUAAACAUUAAAAUAUCAAGUGGGUUCUAUAAAUAGUGAUUCUUUUGAAUAUAUCCAUAUUUAACAUUGUAUAACACCCAAAUUUUAAUGACAAAUGUCAUAUGAAUGUUAUUAUAGUAGUGUGUUUUUCCCUUUGUAAAAUAUACAUGUAACAUAGUUUGAAUCUCUCAGUAUUUUGUGCAUGGAUAAAAUAAUCAAGUGUAUCAUGUAUUUUAUAUCAUUUAUUUUUGUCUGCAUAAAAGACUAGAGUAGUAACAUUGUAUCAUGUGUCAAAAAAUAAUAAAGUGAAAUGUAGUAUGACCA